rnacentral:rRNA from 1 species
AUGCUUUACAGCUUAGAACCGGGGCUCCAAAAGCGUUUUGAGCAACACGGAGCAUAUGAGAUGUUCGAAGAGCUGAAGAUGGUUUUCCAAGCUCAUGCCCGGGUCGAGAGAUAUGAAGUGUCCGACAAGUUCUAUAGUUGUAAGAUGGAGGAAAAUUGUUCUGUCAGUGAGCACAUACUCAAAAUGUCUGGGUUGCACAACUGCUUCUCCCAGCUGGACAUUAACCUCUCAGACGAGGCGGUCAUUGACAGAAUCCUUCAGUCGCUCCCACCUAGCUACAAGAGCUUUUUGAUGAACUACAAUAUGCAGGGGAUGGUGAAAACUAUUCUUGAAGUAUUUUCAAUAUUGAAAUCAGCAAGGUGGAAAUAA